rnacentral:misc_RNA from 1 species
AACAUCGCGCACCUGCGGGAACCUGCGGAAGGAUCAUUACAGAGUUGCAAAACUCCCACAAACCAUCGCGAAUCUUACCCGUACGGUUGCCUCGGCGCUGGCGGUCCGGAAGGCCCUCGGGCCCCCGGACCCUCGGGUCUCCCGCUCGCGGGAGGCUGCCCGCCGGAGUGCCGAAACCAAACUCUUGAUAUUUUUAUGUCUCUCUGAGUAAACUUUUAAAUAAGUCAAAACUUUUAACAA